CCAGCUUGUUGCUAGGCUCUUUGGACAACAGAUUUGCAAGCCCUGUGCCAGGUGGUGGCCAUCUGCCUUUUAAAAGUCCACGAUGACCUUGACCUCCUCUCUCCUUCUGAUCCUGCCAUUUCCUUUAAGCCUCGCCUUCGUCUUUCAUUCCUCUCAUUGUGAUGCUUUUAUUGUCAAGAGCUGAACUUCACACCGAGGCUACCUCAACCCACAGGCUUUGGAACAAAAGAUAGCAUGGGCACUAAAAAGCACCAGGAACAAGAGACAGAAUUAGCAGGCAAGACUGCAGUGGAGUGAGAAAAGAAAGUCAACUAAAGUUAGUCCUGUGAUCACCCAGGUGAACUUGUCCCUAAGUUUCUCCUGGCCUCAAGAAACCUUUAUGAUUACAAAAACCAUCCUACUUCUUAA